CUUGUCCUCAGGGGCCGGCGGGAAGGACUGCACGUUGGCCACAAACAGGUCCUUGCGAAAAGUCAGGCCCAGGACGUCCAGGUCCUCCCGGCCAUAGCGGAAGGCGCAGGUACUCAGGAUCCACCAGGACCACACCAUCUGCGAGAGCACAGAGAGUGACCCUCCCAACCCCUGAGCCCCAAAUGCCACCCCACACCCAACGCUCCAUCCACCCAAACACACCAUGAGAGAAAUGGGAAGGCCAACCCCGAGGGCGGCGCCCCCAGCCCCACCAAGCCCUCCCCUCCUCUCCCCCAGCUGCCAGCUAACGUGUACACUGAGAGGCAGCAGAGGAUGGCUCAAGUGCUUGGCUCCCUGCCACCCUAGUGCAAGAUCUGGAUGGAGUUCCUGGCUCCCGGUUUUGGCCUGGCCCAGCCCUGGCUGUGGUCGUCCUUUGGGGAGUGAACCAGUGGAUGGAAGAUCUCUGUCUAUCACUCUCUCUCUGUCAUUCUGCAUUUCAAAUAAAUAAAUCUUCAAUAAA